rnacentral:rRNA from 1 species
AUUGAACGCUGGCGGCAUGCUUUACACAUGCAAGUCGAACGGCAGCGCAGGCUUCGGCCUGGCGGCGAGUGGCGAACGGGUGAGUAAUGCAUCGGAACGUGCCCAGUAGUGGGGGAUAGCCCGGCGAAAGCCGGAUUAAUACCGCAUACGACCUGAGGGUGAAAGCGGGGGACCGAAAGGCCUCGCGCUAUUGGAGCGGCCGAUGUCGGAUUAGCUAGUUGGUGGGGUAAAGGCUUACCAAGGCGACGAUCCGUAGCUGGUCUGAGAGGACGACCAGCCACACUGGGACUGAGACACGGCCCAGACUCCUACGGGAGGCAGCAGUGGGGAAUUUUGGACAAUGGGGGCAACCCUGAUCCAGCCAUGCCGCGUGCGGGAAGAAGGCCUUCGGGUUGUAAACCGCUUUUGUUCGGGAAGAAAUCCUCUGGGCUAAUACCCCGGGGGGAUGACGGUACCGGAAGAAUAAGCACCGGCUAACUACGU